GGAGCUAACGCGUUAAGUAGACCGCCUGGGGAGUACGGUCGCAAGAUUAAAACUCAAAUGAAUUGACGGGGGCCCGCACAAGCGGUGGAGCAUGUGGUUUAAUUCGAUGCAACGCGAAGAACCUUACCUACUCUUGACAUCCAGAGAAGCUUGAAGAGAUUCGAGUGUGCCUUCGGGAACUCUGAGACAGGUGCUGCAUGGCUGUCGUCAGCUCGUGUUGUGAAAUGUUGGGUUAAGUCCCGCAACGAGCGCAACCCUUAUCCUUGUUUGCCAGCACUUCGGGUGGGAACUCCAGGGAGACUGCCGGUGAUAAACCGGAGGAAGGUGGGGACGACGUCAAGUCAUCAUGGCCCUUACGAGUAGGGCUACACACGUGCUACAAUGGCAUAUACAGAGGGCAGCAAGACCGCGAGGUGGAGCGAAUCCCAGAAAGUAUGUCGUAGUCCGGAUCGGAGUCUGCAACUCGACUCCGUGAAGUCGGAAUCGCUAGUAAUCGUGGAUCAGAAUGCCACGGUGAAUACGUUCCCGGGCCUUGUACACACCGCCCGUCACACCAUGGGAGUGGGCUGCACCAGAAGUAGAUAGCUUAACCUUCGGGAGGGCGUUUACCACGGUGUGGUUCAUGACUGGGGUGAAGUCGUAA
rnacentral:rRNA from 1 species